UACGGAGGGUGCAAACGUUGCUCGGAAUUAUUGGGCGUAAAGAGCGUGUAGGCGGCCUUACAGGUCAGCUGUGAAAACUCGAGGCUCAACCUCGAGACGUCGGUUGAAACCGUAAGGCUAGAGUCCGGAAGAGGAGAGUGGAAUUCCCGGUGUAGCGGUGAAAUGCGCAGAUAUCGGGAAGAACACCCGUGGCGAAGGCGGCUCUCUGGGACGGUACUGACGCUGAGACGCGAAAGCGUGGGGAGCGAACAGG
rnacentral:rRNA from 1 species